rnacentral:rRNA from 1 species
GUGUCAGCCGCCGCGGUAAUACGUAGGGGGCAAGCGUUGUCCGGAAUCAUUGGGCGUAAAGAGCGUGUAGGCGGCUCGAUAAGUCUGCUGUGAAAGUCCAGGGCUCAACCCUGGAAGGCCGGUGGAAACUGUCGGGCUAGAGUCCGGAAGAGGCGAGUGGAAUUCCCGGUGUAGCGGUGAAAUGCGCAGAUAUCGGGAGGAACACCAAUGGCGAAGGCAGCUCGCUGGGACGGUACUGACGCUGAGACGCGAAAGCGUGGGGAGCAAACAGGAUUAGAAACCCCCGUAGUCC